AUUGCCUUAGUAGCGGCGAGUGAAGCGGCAAAAGCUCAAAUUUGAAAUCUGGCGCCUUCGGUGUCCGAGUUGUAAUUUGAAGAUUGUAACCUUGGGGUUGGCUCUYGUCUAUGUUUCUUGGAACAGGACGUCACAGAGGGUGAGAAUCCCGUGCGAUGAGAUGCCCAAUUCUAUGUAAGGUGCUUUCGAAGAGUCGAGUUGUUUGGGAAUGCAGCUCUAAGUGGGUGGUAAAUUCCAUCUAAAGCUAAAUAUUGGCGAGAGACCGAUAGCGAACAAGUACAGUGAUGGAAAGAUGAAAAGAACUUUGAAAAGAGAGUGAAAAAGUACGUGAAAUUGUUGAAAGGGAAGGGUUUGAGAUCAGACUCGAUAUUUUGUGAGCCUUGCCUUCGUGGCGGGGUGACCCGCAGCUUAUCGGGCCAGCAUCGGUUUGGGCGGUAGGAUAAUGGCGUAGGAAUGUGACUUUACUUCGGUGAAGUGUUAUAGCCUGCGUUGAUGCUGCCUGCCUAGACCGAGGACUGCGAUUUUAUCAAGGAUGCUGGCAUA
rnacentral:rRNA from 1 species